rnacentral:rRNA from 1 species
CACGUAGGGUGCGAGCGUUGUCCGGAAUUAUUGGGCGUAAAGAGCUCGUAGGCGGUGUGUCGCGUCCGCUGUGAAAACCUGCAGCUUAACUGUGGGCUUGCGGUCGAUACGGGCAUCGCUGGAGUUCGGCAGGGGAGACUGGAAUUCCUGGUGUAGCGGUGAAAUGCGCAGAUAUCAGGAGGAACACCGAUGGCGAAGGCAGGUCUCUGGGCCACUACUGACGCUGAGAAGCGAAAGCAUGGGGAGCGAACAGG